rnacentral:rRNA from 1 species
GCUCCAAUAGCGUAUGUUAAAGUUGUUGCGGCUAAAAAGCUCGUAGUUGGAUUUCUAGAUGAGAGGAGUGGUCCACUCUAUGAGUGUGUAUCUACUUCCGCUCGUCUAUCCGCUCUGCAAACGUGUCUGCGCUUGACUGCGUGGCGCGGAGGUAGGGCCUUUUUACUUUGAGGAAAUUAGAGUGUUCACGGCAGGCAAUC